rnacentral:ncRNA from 1 species
GAGAGCCCGGUGCGGUGAAAGUCGCACGCCGGGUUCGGAAGGCGGCCUGGGGAAACGGGCCCGGAGUAAUUCAGGAACCGCGCCCCAGGCCGACCUAAC